AUGAGAAAAUCAACAAAAAUGGAUUUUCGUUUUGUUUCUUUACAAGUGUGUUCUUGUUUCAGUUUUUUGUUGCCUGCAUUGCAUUCCAGUGCUCAAAAGGGCAGUGCUGCUGCUGAUUCAUCAAUGCAUUCCUCUUACUGCGCUCCCCAUUUUUCCAUUAGUAGUAUGGUAAAUAUGUUAAUCAAGUGUGGUUUAGCUCAUAAACUAAUGGUGGAAUCAUGCCAUUUCCAUGGCCAUGUCUGUGUUUUGUUUUUCUGGUGGAGUUGUUUAUCCCAUUUUCUCCAAUCAAACAGAUUGCAAGAUUCAAGCAUACCUACCUCAUGGGACUAUGAGAUCUAG
rnacentral:rRNA from 1 species